rnacentral:rRNA from 1 species
GUCGAGCGAAGCAUUUUAAAGGAAGUUUUCGGAUGGAAUUUGAAAUGACUGAGCGGCGGACGGGUGAGUAACGCGUGGGCAACCUGCCUCAUACAGGGGGAUAACAGUUAGAAAUGACUGCUAAUACCGCAUAAGCACACAGUACCGCAUGGUACAGUGUGAAAAACUCCGGUGGUAUGAGAUGGACCUGCGUCUGAUUAGCUAGUUGGCGGGGUAACGGCCCACCAAGGCGACGAUCAGUAGCCGACCUGAGAGGGUGACCGGCCACAUUGGGACUGAGACACGGCCCAAACUCCUACGGGAGGCAGCAGUGGGGAAUAUUGCACAAUGGGGGAAACCCUGAUGCAGCAACGCCGCGUGAGUGAAGAAGUAUUUCGGUAUGUAAAGCUCUAUCAGCAGGGAAGAAAGUGACGGUACCUGACUAAGAAGCCCCGGCUAACUACGUGCCAGCAGCCGCGGUAAUACGUAGGGGGCAAGCGUUAUCCGGAUUUACUGGGUGUAAAGGGAGCGUAGACGGCACAGCAAGUCUGAAGUGAAAUCCCCGGGCUC